rnacentral:rRNA from 1 species
UAAGCAAAUAGUGAAAGCGUGGGGCUCAACCUCAUAUACAUUAUUUGAACUGCUUAGCUAGAGGAUGAGAGAGGUCGCUGGAAUUGCUAGUGUAGGAGUGAAAUCCGUAGAUAUUAGCAGGAACACCGAUGGCGUAGGCAGGCGACUGGCUCAUUCCUGACACUAAGGCACGAAAGCGUGGGAGCAAACGGGAUUAGAUACCCCGGUAGCCCACGCCGUAAACGAUGGAUGCUA